rnacentral:rRNA from 1 species
UACAGAGGUCCCAAGCGUUGUUCGGAUUCAUUGGGCGUAAAGGGUGCGUAGGCGGCGCGGUAAGUCGGGUGUGAAAUCUCGGGGCUUAACUCCGAAACUGCAUUCGAUACUGCCGUGCUUGAGGACUGGAGAGGAGACUGGAAUUUACGGUGUAGCGGUGAAAUGCGUAGAUAUCGUAAGGAAGACCAGUGGCGAAGGCGAGUUUCUGGACAGUUACUGACGCUGAGGCACGAAGGCCAGGGGAGCAAACGGG